GUCCGAAUACAGGGUGGUCCGGGAGCCUAGAAUGAAGUUCGGGUUUAUGUCGGAUGUUCGCAGUUUCCACUGAACUUCUUCCUUGCAUUUUUGUAGGAAGGUGGCUUGGGUCUAUCACCUUGAUGCUCCCGAUUUUCUUGAGCACCAUUUCCGCUCAUUAUUGAUAAUGGAGGGGUCUGUUUUGUUGACGACCUGUGGCCUGGAGUGUCUGCUGUUGAGGGUCGCCAAGGGUUCUGCUAUCUUUCCUUUAUCUGGGUCUUCGUGCUUCUUUGGGGGUCUGGCUCCGUUCCAGUUGGUGGUCAAAUCACUAAUCAGGGCUCUCUGUGCUAAUGUCGUGGUGGAGGCGGACUUCUCGGCAUCUUGUGUUCUUGUGGGUGUUUCUUUGG
rnacentral:lncRNA from 1 species